AGAGUUUGAUCCUGGCUCAGGAUGAACGCUGGCGGCGUGCCUAAUACAUGCAAGUCGAGCGAACGGACGAGAAGCUUGCUUCUCUGAUGUUAGCGGCGGACGGGUGAGUAACACGUGGAUAACCUACCUAUAAGACUGGGAUAACUUCGGGAAACCGGAGCUAAUACCGGAUAAUAUUUUGAACCGCAUGGUUCAAAAGUAAAAGACGGUCUUGCUGUCACUUAUAGAUGGAUCCGCGCUGCAUUAGCUAGUUGGUAAGGUAACGGCUUACCAAGGCAACGAUGCAUAGCCGACCUGAGAGGGUGAUCGGCCACACUGGAACUGAGACACGGUCCAGACUCCUACGGGAGGCAGCAGUAGGGAAUCUUCCGCAAUGGGCGAAAGCCUGACGGAGCAACGCCGCGUGAGUGAUGAAGGUCUUCGGAUCGUAAAACUCUGUUAUUAGGGAAGAACAUAUGUGUAAGUAACUGUGCACAUCUUGACGGUACCUAAUCAGAAAGCCACGGCUAACUACGUGCCAGCAGCCGCGGUAAUACGUAGGUGGCAAGCGUUAUCCGGAAUUAUUGGGCGUAAAGCGCGCGUAGGCGGUUUUUUAAGUCUGAUGUGAAAGCCCACGGCUCAACCGUGGAGGGUCAUUGGAAACUGGAAAACUUGAGUGCAGAAGAGGAAAGUGGAAUUCCAUGUGUAGCGGUGAAAUGCGCAGAGAUAUGGAGGAACACCAGUGGCGAAGGCGACUUUCUGGUCUGUAACUGACGCUGAUGUGCGAAAGCGUGGGGAUCAAACAGGAUUAGAUACCCUGGUAGUCCACGCCGUAAACGAUGAGUGCUAAGUGUUAGGGGGUUUCCGCCCCUUAGUGCUGCAGCUAACGCAUUAAGCACUCCGCCUGGGGAGUACGACCGCAAGGUUGAAACUCAAAGGAAUUGACGGGGACCCGCACAAGCGGUGGAGCAUGUGGUUUAAUUCGAAGCAACGCGAAGAACCUUACCAAAUCUUGACAUCCUUUGACAACUCUAGAGAUAGAGCCUUCCUCUUCGGGGGACAAAGUGACAGGUGGUGCAUGGUUGUCGUCAGCUCGUGUCGUGAGAUGUUGGGUUAAGUCCCGCAACGAGCGCAACCCUUAAGCU
rnacentral:rRNA from 12 species